rnacentral:rRNA from 1 species
CAAUAAGCGGAGGAAAAGAAACCAACAGGGAUUGCCUCAGUAACGGCGAGUGAAGCGGCAAAAGCUCAGAUUUGAAAUCUGGCGUCUUCGGCGUCCGAGUUGUAAUCUGUAGAGGAUGCCUUUGGGUGGCCACCGGUCUAAGUCCCCUGGAACGGGGUGUCACAGAGGGUGAGAAUCCCGUAUGUGACCGGGAAGGCGCCCUAUACAUGGCUCCUUCGACGAGUCGAGUUGUUUGGGAAUGCAGCUCUAAAUGGGAGGUAAAUUCCUUCUAAAGCUAAAUACCGGCCAGAGACCGAUAGCGCACAAGUAGAGUGAUCGAAAGAUGAAAAGCACUUUGGAAAGAGAGUUAAAAAGCACGUGAAAUUGUUGAAAGGGAAGCGCUUGCAACCAGACUUGUUGGCGGUGUUCCGCCGGUCUUCUGACCGGUCUACUCACCGUCUGCAGGCCAGCAUCAUCUGGGGCCGCUGGAUAAAAGCGGAGGGAAUGUGGCUCCUCCGGGAGUGUUAUAGCCCUCUGUGUAAUACAGCGAGUCCCGGGUGAGGUCCGCGCUUCGGCUAGGAUGCUGGCGUAAUGGUCGUAAGCGGCCCGUCUUGAAACACGGACCAAGGAGUCUAACAUCUAUGCGAGUGUUCGGGUGUCAAACCCCUACGCGUAAUGAAAGUGAACGGAGGUGGGAACCUUUUAGGUGCACCAUCGACCGAUCCUGAUGUCUUCGGAUGGAUUUGAGUAAGAGCAUAGCUGUUGGGACCCGAAAGAUGGUGAACUAUGCCUGGAUAGGGUGAAGCCAGAGGAAACUCUGGUGGAGGCUCGCAGCGGUUCUGACGUGCAAAUCGAUCGUCAAAUUUGGGUAUAGGGGCGAAAGACUAAUCGAA